UACGACCACGUCACAUUGAAACACCAGUUCCUGUCCGAUCACUGAAGUUAAGCAAUGUCGAGACUGGUCACCUAGAUGGAUGACUGCUUGGAAAUACCAGGUGCUGUAAG